GUAUUUGGGGCGCAUUUGGUUUUGUGACCAAAAUCAAAAUUUGAAGGGAUUGGAAUAAGAAUCAGAAUACCAUAUUUUCUGAUUUGAUUGGUUAGUGAUCGGAAUAAAACUAGAAUUUAAAUACUAGAGGAGAGUAGGGAUUGGGUUUUGAGACUUGGUGUAUUUCUAUCCCCAUGAAAUCAGAAUUGAAAUAGAUUUUUUCAAAUCAAAUGGCUGGAAUGAUGGCUGGAACGA
rnacentral:lncRNA from 1 species